UUGGAGGGCAAGUCUGGUGCCAGCAGCCGCGGUAAUUCCAGCUCCAAUAGCGUAUAUUAAAGUUGUUGCAGUUAAAAAGCUCGUAGUUGAACUUCGGGGUUUACCCAUUGGUCAGGCUUAAUUGUCUGUACUGGUGAGAUAAAUCUCUACCUUCUGAGGAACUUUCAUGCCAUUUAUUUGGUGUGAUGGGAAAUCAGGACUGUUACUUUGAAAAAAUUAGAGUGUUUAAAGCAGGCUAACGUCUGAAUACAUUAGCAUGGAAUAAUGAAAUAGGACGGACUGAUUCUAUUUCGUUGGUUUCUAGGAUCACCGUAAUGAUUAAUAGGGAUAGUUGGGGGCAUUAGUAUUCAAUUGUCAGAGGUGAAAUUCUUGGAUUUAUUGAAGACUAACUACUGCGAAAGCAUUUGCCAAGGAUGUUUUCAUUAAUCAAGAACGAAAGUUAGGGGAUCGAAGACGAUCAGAUACCGUCGUAGUCUUAACCAUAAACUAUGCCGACUAGGGAUCGGACGAAGUUAAUUUUAUAAUGACGCGUUCGGCGCCUUACGGGAAAC
rnacentral:rRNA from 2 species